rnacentral:rRNA from 1 species
AUGGUACGCCAAUUUGAACUUGCUCGGUCUGUUCAAUUGCGGCCUUAUAAUGCAAUCUCAUUCUCUGGUCCAAUUGCUGUUUUUGUUUCUGUAUUCCUUAUUUAUCCACUGGGGCAAUCUGGUUGGUUCUUUGCGCCGAGUUUUGGCGUAGCAGCGGUAUUUCGAUUCAUCCUUUUCUUCCAAGGAUUUCAUAAUUGGACGUUGAACCCAUUUCAUAUGAUGGGAGUUGCCGGAGUAUUAGGUGCGGCUCUGCUAUGCGCUAUUCAUGGAGCGACCGUAGAACUAUUUGAGGACGGUGCUGGUGCAAAUACCUUCCGUGCUUUUAACCCAACUCAAGCUGAAGAAACUUAUUCCAUGGUCACUGCUAACCGCUUUUGGUCCCAAAUCUUUGGUGUUGCUUUUUCCAAUAAACGUUGGUUACAUUUCUUUAUGCUAUUUGUACCCAUCACCGGUUUAUGGAUGAGUGCUAUUGGCGUAGUUGGCUUGGCUCUGAACUUACGUGCCUAUGACUUUGUUUCCCAGGAAAUCCGUGCAGCAGAAGAUCCUGAAUUUGAGACUUUCUACACCAAAAAUAUUCUUUUAAAUGAGGGUAUUCGUGCGUGGAUGGCAGCUCAGGAUCAGCCUCAUGAAAAUCUUAUAUUCCCUGAGGAGGUUCUACCACGUGGAAACGCUCUUUAA